ACCAGGAAUCGAACAUAUUAUUG
rnacentral:miRNA from 1 species